GUGGCUAUGGUGUAAUGGUUAACACUAGAGUUUGUGGAACUCUCAAUCUGGGUUCAAUUCCCAGUAGCCACCCCC
rnacentral:tRNA from 1 species